UUUGGACAUUGUGGCUGGGGAACUUGUGACAACCGUUUGCCCUGAAAUAAUUAAUUACCCAUAGUGCAUUGCUUUGUUGUCACACGUGCUCGAUCCAACAUGUCAGCGCCUGUUGGGACGAUGGCCGAAGACUCAAGCAGUGAAGAUGAAGAUCUAGAACAUUUUAAGGAAGCAGCUUGGAGUUUUGGCACAUAUGGAACUAAUGGCACACACAAUGCCAACCCGGCAGGUAAAUUCGGCCAAACUUUAGUGUACCUUUGCUUUAGCUAAGACCCAGAGUGUAGUUAUCUAGCUAACGCUAACAGUUAGUCAUAACAACAAAUGUGGGGUGGGAGAUGGCUAGCUAAGUGUGUGAAAUCUUGAGCCAACGAGCAAAUCUAUCUUUCUCCAAAACGACAGCAACGUCCUAACAGUAACUACUAUUGCUUUAGAUGGGGUAAGCAAUGUCAAGCAAUCCCGUCGUGUGGCUGUAUCUAAACAUGAACAUGAUGGGAAGGAGUUGCAGACGACCCCGGAGUUCCGUGCGCACGUUGCAAAUAAAUUAGGGGCUCUGCUUGACAGUGAUAUCUGCAGAAACAUCAAGACCCUGCACAGAGUCAACCAAAUGUGAAGAUGGUUUGGAAGGUUUCCGGCUGUUCACCACAUCUGUCCCAGGAGAGUUUACCAUUGAUCCCCCUCCUCCUCCUGUAAGGCGCAGGCCCAUCUCCAGCUCAAGUGACAGUGAAAUUGAGAUGAGACUGAGAGAGGCAGCAGUGUCAGUCACAGACCUCCUAUCAUCAGCUCUCCCCAGCGAGAUUACACAUUCCCUGCCGGAGUCCCCCAGCUCAGAGAAAUGAAGAAGAAGAACAACAACAACAAAGGAGAGGAGGCAGAAAGAGAGGACCAUAAUAACAGCCCUGUCCCAAAGAAAAAUAAGAAAAGGAAAGCUCUCCAGGGGGAGUGUGGAGAGGUAGAGCACUGUGGAGAAUCAUCACCUGAUGCUAAAUCUGAUGAGGAGCAGAAGAGGCCAGAAGAGGACAUUUUACCCCUGAAGAAGAAGAAGAAAGGCACCGAUGAAAGAUGAAGUAUAAAAGCACUGAGAGACUUGUGUGCUGUUAUUUGGGAUGUUGGCUGUUUGUUCCAUACUUGUGAGACCUGUUGUACUUGGGAAUCUUAUCACUGAUUAUAACAUGGUCAGGUCAUACACUUAUAUCACAGCAAUGUUGUACAAUGUAGAUUGCAUUCCAGAAAAUAACAAUGUGAACUUUCAGAAAUGUGAAAUACGUUUUUCACAAGAUAUUUGAUUACCGUUUUCUCUACCCAAAACACAAUUUGUUCUAUGCCUUGUUUCGUAAAGGACGUUGUUUACACUGAAUUCGACUUACAUGUAAAUUUAUGAGCAGGAGGCUACAAUGAUUUUUUUAUUAACAAUUCUUUGUUGAUAACGUACACACUCUGGCCAGUUUAUUUGGUACAAUACCCUGUUCACAAAAAUGGAUCGCUUGUACAGACAGUGAGUCACUUGGCUGUGGCUUGGUAUAUAAGACGGGCAUCGAGGCAUUCAGUUACUGUUCAAUUGAAUGUUAGAAUGGGCAAAACGAGUGACCUAAGCGACUUUGAGCAUGGUAUGAUCAUCUGUGCCAGGUGCACCGGAUCCAGUAUCUCAGAAACAGCCACCCUCCUGGGCUUUUGACGGACAACAGUGCCUAGGGUUUACAGAGAAUGGUGCAACAAACAAAAACAUCAGUCAGUGGCAGUCCUGUGGGCAAAAACAACUUGUUGAAGGAAAAUGGCAAGAAUCGUGCAGGCUAACAGACGGGCCACAAAUAGACAUAUAAUGGCGCAGAAGGGCAUCUCGGAACGCACAACUUGUCGAUCCUUGCCACGAAUGGGCUAUAGCAGCAGACAACCACACUGGGUUCCUUUCCUUAUCAGCUAAAAACAAGAAGAAGCGGCUACAGUGGGGAUGCGAUCACCGACAAAUGCUGUUGUAUUAUGCUGAUGGCAGAGUCAGGUUUUGGUGUAAGCAGCAUGAAUCCAUGGACCCAUCCUGCCUGGUGUCGACAGUACAGGCUGGUAGCGGUAGUGUACUGGUGUGGGGAAUGUUUUCCUGGCACACGUUAGGUCUCUUGAUACCAAUUGAGCAACCAAAUAUUCCGACACCUAAUAGAAUUCAUGCCCCGAAAAAUUCAGGCUGCUCUGGAGGCAAAGGGGGUCUGAACCGGCACUUGAUGGGUGCAGUGCUUCAUUUCAGUUAGAUCUUGCCAGAACAGGAUCUGGCACCUCUCCGUUUUGGACUAUUUGGCCUGAUCCGGUACCUCUCAUGGCAUGAACAAUUAUUUAUCUGAUUUAUUGAAAUACAUUUGCCAAAGUUAUAGAAUUACUGCUGUCUGUUCAGAAAGAAAUUAAAUAAUUCAGAAUACACAAUGA